rnacentral:tRNA from 1 species
AUCUAUGUAGCUUAAUUAAAGUUUAACACUGAAGAUGUUAAGAUGGUGACAACCUAUAGAUA